AGGAUGAACGCUGGCGGCGUGCCUAAUACAUGCAAGUCGAGCGAACGGACGAGAAGCUUGCUUCUCUGAUGUUAGCGGCGGACGGGUGAGUAACACGUGGAUAACCUACCUAUAAGACUGGGAUAACUUCGGGAAACCGGAGCUAAUACCGGAUAAUAUUUUGAACCGCAUGGUUCAAAAGUGAAAGACGGUCUUGCUGUCACUUAUAGAUGGAUCCGCGCUGCAUUAGCUAGUUGGUAAGGUAACGGCUUACCAAGGCAACGAUGCAUAGCCGACCUGAGAGGGUGAUCGGCCACACUGGAACUGAGACACGGUCCAGACUCCUACGGGAGGCAGCAGUAGGGAAUCUUCCGCAAUGGGCGAAAGCCUGACGGAGCAACGCCGCGUGAGUGAUGAAGGUCUUCGGAUCGUAAAACUCUGUUAUUAGGGAAGAACAUAUGUGUAAGUAACUGUGCACAUCUUGACGGUACCUAAUCAGAAAGCCACGGCUAACUACGUGCCAGCAGCCGCGGUAAUACGUAGGUGGCAAGCGUUAUCCGGAAUUAUUGGGCGUAAAGCGCGCGUAGGCGGUUUUUUAAGUCUGAUGUGAAAGCCCACGGCUCAACCGUGGAGGGUCAUUGGAAACUGGAAAACUUGAGUGCAGAAGAGGAAAGUGGAAUUCCAUGUGUAGCGGUGAAAUGCGCAGAGAUAUGGAGGAACACCAGUGGCGAAGGCGACUUUCUGGUCUGUAACUGACGCUGAUGUGCGAAAGCGUGGGGAUCAAACAGGAUUAGAUACCCUGGUAGUCCACGCCGUAAACGAUGAGUGCUAAGUGUUAGGGGGUUUCCGCCCCUUAGUGCUGCAGCUAACGCAUUAAGCACUCCGCCUGGGGAGUACGACCGCAAGGUUGAAACUCAAAGGAAUUGACGGGGACCCGCACAAGCGGUGGAGCAUGUGGUUUAAUUCGAAGCAACGCGAAGAACCUUACCAAAUCUUGACAUCCUUUGACAACUCUAGAGAUAGAGCCUUCCCCUUCGGGGGG
rnacentral:rRNA from 1 species